GAUAAACGCUGGCGGUAUACAUAACACAUGCAAGUCGAACGGAAUAUUUUCGGUAGUAUUUGGUUGGCGGACGGGUGGAGUAACACGUAAGAAUCUGCCUUCAGGACGGGGACGAACAGUCGGAAACGAACUGCUAAGACCCGACUAUGCUUUUCUAAGUGAAACAGUUAAUUCUGCCUGAGAUGAGCUUGCGUCCGAUUAGCUAGUUGGUGAGGUAAAGGCUCACCAAGGCAACGAUCGGUAGCUGGUCUGAGAGGACGAUCAGCCACACUGGGACUGAGACACGGCCCAGACUCCUACGGGAGGCAGCAGUGAGGAAUUUUCCGCAAUGGGCGCAAGCCUGACGGAGUAAUACCGCGUGAGGGAGGAA
rnacentral:rRNA from 1 species